rnacentral:rRNA from 1 species
GAAUGAAACGCUGGCGGCGUGCCUAACACAUGCAAGUCGAGCGAGAACCUCAUGACGGAACCUUCGGGAGUACGGAUUGAGCGGAAAGCGGCGGUACGGGUGAGUAACGCGUGGGCAACCUGCCUUUCACAAGAGGUAUAGCCACCGGAAACGGUGAUUAAUACUGUAUGACAUAGUUUAUUCGCAUGAAUGAAUUUAUCAAAGAUUUAUCGGUGAAAGAUGGGCCCGCGUCUGAUUAGCUAGUUGGUGGGGUAAAGGCUUACCAAGGCGACGAUCAGUAGCCGACCUGAGAGGGCGAACGGCCACACUGGAACUGAGACACGGUCCAGACUCCUACGGGAGGCAGCAGUGGGGAAUAUUCGGCAAUGGGGGCAACCCUGACCGAGCAACGCCGCGUGAGCGAUGAAGGUCUUCGGAUUGUAAAGCUCUGUUGGAUGGGAAGAUAAUGACGGUACCAUCUGAGGAAGCACCGGCUAAAUACGUGCCAGCAGCCGCGGUAAUACGUAUGGUGCAAGCGUUAUCCGGAAUCACUGGGCGUAAAGGGUGCGUAGGCGGGAAACCAAGCCAGAGGUGAAAGGCAGUGGCUCAACCAUUGUAAGCCUUUGGAACUGGUUUUCUUGAGUGCAGGAGAGGUAAGUGGAAUUCCUAGUGUAGAGGUAAAAUUCGUAGAUAUUAGGAGGAACACCGGUGGCGAAGGCGACUUACUGGACUGUAACUGACGCUGAGGCACGAAGGCGUGGGGAGCAAACAGGAUUAGAUACCCUGGUAGUCCACGCGGUAAACGAUGAAUACUAGGUAUUGGGAGUUAAAUCUCGGUGCCGCAGCUAACGCAUUAAGUAUUCCGCCUGGGGAGUACGCACGCAAGUGUGAAACUCAAAGGAAUUGACGGGGACCCGCACAAGUAGCGGAGCAUGUGGUUUAAUUCGUGGCAACGCGUAGAACCUUACCAGGUCUUGACAUCCCUGUGAAUACAUUUUAAUCGGUGUAGCUCUUCGGAGCACAGGAGACAGGUGGUGCAUGGUUGUCGUCAGCUCGUGUCGUGAGAUGUUGGGUUAAGUCCCGCAACGAGCGCAACCCUUGUGUUUAGUUGUUAACAGGUUAAGCUGAACACUCUAGACAGACUGCCGUGGAUAACGCGGAGGAAGGUGGGGAUGAGGUCAAAUCAUCAUGCCCCUUACGAUCUGGGCUACACACGUGCUACAAUGGCUGGUACAACGGGAGGCGAAGGAGCGAUCCGGAGCGAAACCUAAAAAGCCAGUCUCAGUUCGGAUUGCAGGCUGCAACUCGCCUGCAUGAAGUCGGAGUUACUAGUAAUCGCGGAUCAGAAUGUCGCGGUGAAUGCGUUCUCGGGUCU